rnacentral:rRNA from 1 species
GUUUGAUCCUGCCAGUAAUCAUAUGCUUGUCUCAAAGAUUAAGCCAUGCAUGUCUAAGUACAUGCCGAAAUAAGGCGAAACCGCGAAUGGCUCAUUAAAUCAGUUAUGGUUCCUUAGAUCGUUUCUUCCUACUUGGAUAACUGUGGCAAUUCUAGAGCUAAUACAUGCAGUGAGCCUGGAACCCUUUGGGUUUACGGGUGCUUUUAUUAGACCAAGAUCGAUCGGGUUUCGGCCCGUAUUGUGUGGUGACUCUGGAUAACUUUGUGCUGAUCGCAUGGCCACGAGCCGGCGACGUUUCUUUCAAGUGUCUGCCUUAUCAACUUUCGAUGGUAGGUUACUUGCUUACCAUGGUUGUUACGGGUAACGGAGAAUCAGGGUUCGAUUCCGGAGAGGGAGCCUGAGAAACGGCUACCACAUCCAAGGAAGGCAGCAGGCGCGCAAAUUACCCACUCCCGGCACGGGGAGGUAGUGACGAAAAAUAACAAUACGGGACUCUUUUGAGGCCCCGUAAUUGAAAUGAGUACACUCUAAAUCCUUUAACGAGGAUCAAUUGGAGGGCAAGUCUGGUGCCAGCAGCCGCG